rnacentral:rRNA from 1 species
UCAUAACGGAGGAAAGAAACCAACAGGGAUUGCCUCAGUAACGGCGAGUGAAGCGGCAACAGCUCAAAUUUGAAAUCUGGCCCCUUCGGGGUCCGAGUUGUAAUUUGCAGAGGGUGCUUUUGGUGUUGGCCGUGGUCUAAGUUCCUUGGAACAGGACGUCACAGAGGGUGAGAAUCCCGUACGUGGCCGCCGGCCCUCGCCUUGUAAAGCCCCUUCGACGAGUCGAGUUGUUUGGGAAUGCAGCUCUAAAUGGGAGGUAAAUUUCUUCUAAAGCUAAAUACCCGCCAGAGACCGAUAGCGCACAAGUAGAGUGAUCGAAAGAUGAAAAGCACUUUGGAAAGAGAGUGAAAAAGCACGUGAAAUUGUUGAAAGGGAAGCGCUUGCGGCCAGACGUGCCCGCGGUUGUUCAUCUGGGCUCUCGCCCGGUGCACUCCUCCGCGGGCAGGCCAGCAUCAGUUUGGGCGGUCGGACAAAGGUCUCUAUCACGUACCACCCCUCGGGGUGGCCUUAUAGGGGAGACGCAACACGGCCAGCCUGGACUGAGGUUCCGCGCAUCUGCUAGGAUGCUGGCGUAAUGGCAGCAAGCGGCCCGUCUUGAAACACGGACCAAGGAGUCUAACAUCUAUGCGAGUGUUUGGGUGUCAAGCCCGAGCGCGUAAUGAAAGUGAACGGAGGUGGGAACCCCUCGGGGCGCACCAUCGACCGAUCCUGAUGUCUUCGGAUGGAUUUGAGUAAGAGCAUAGCUGUUGGGACCCGAAAGAUGGUGAACUAUGCCUGAAUAGGGUGAAGCCAGAGGAAACUCUGGUGGAGGCUCGCAGCGGUUCUGACGUGCAAAUCGAUCGUCAAAUUUGGGCAU